rnacentral:pre_miRNA from 1 species
CAGCCAAGGAUGACUUGCCGGCUAGCUCUUGUAGCAUGCUUAUACUUUGCCAUUAACUAAGGAUGAUGUGUCUGGCCAGUAGAUGAUCGGCAAGUCAUCUCUGGCUA